rnacentral:pre_miRNA from 1 species
CGGACCGUCAAAUUGGUUGUGAAUUAUGUUUUUAUAUUAAUAUUUCAUAUCACAGCCAUUUUGACGAGUUUGA